rnacentral:lncRNA from 1 species
UUAAAUUUGAAUUAUAAACAUUCAACGUGAUGCUUGAAUUGUAAUAGUCUUCAAUAAUAAUAAAAAAUAUAUACUUUGAUCGGUAAAACGUGACAAUAUUAGUGAUGGCAUCAUCACAUAUGAUGGAAUAAAUGUAUUUUACUUAAUUUUUUCUGCUCCAAUUUUAAUACUUAAUUCAUCACUAUACUUUUUUAGUAAUGAGAUGUAUGAUACAAGGAUAAUUAUGCUGAUUUCUUUUCUUAUUAUUAUGUUCGAUCUUCACUAUAUAUAAAAAUUUAUUGACUCGUUCUGAUUCAAUGCGCUUAGAAAACCAUAAAAUAUAAAACAAGAUUAAUUAAGUCUAUUUUUUUACGGUUCAGAUAUUUGUUCUUCACAUAUAUUUCUAAAUACUUCUCUUUAU